AGUAGAUAUAUUUAAGCUUGAGGACAUUAAAAAGUUAUUCAAGAGGCCAGGAGAAAGCAAAGAAUCAGAACAAAUCAGAACUGCUCUACAGAAUGGUUUACAGGACAAACAGUUCAUUAAAACCCAUAUAAACUUCCAAGAGUAGAAAGAAGACACACUCAAGAUGAAAAUUUAGGAAAGGAGGAUUUACAAUAGUUCCAAAAUAUAAUCUGCAAAAGAUGUUUUGGACAAAUUACCCAAAACUAUGGAAGAAGCAUGACUCAGGGAUGAAAUGGCUACAAAACCAGAGUUCAGUGAAAUCCUGUCCCACAGCUUAACUGUGAUCAGAGUGAUUUCGGGGAAGAAAAGUAUUAACAAAUCAGGAUUUGAGGAAGAACAGACAUUCUAAUCAAUGUUUAAGACUUUGGAGAACUGGCCAGAGGGAGAAAAAGUGUGCUGCAGAUGAACAGAAGGAAACCAAGGCAGAGAAUGUACCCAGAAAGCCAUUGAUAACGUGAUGUUUGUUUAAGGUC
rnacentral:lncRNA from 1 species